UUCCAAUGAUGAUGAAUCUUAGCUCACUUUGAUCCGAUGUGAAACGACUAGAACAUCUGAGCAAC